UGUUGCAUCCCUGUCUUGGAGUUUCUUGUGUAGGCUCGUUAUUGCAUGGGAUUUAAACUUCUCUCUUUAGUACUUCAAUUCUAUGAGAAUUGAAACUUGGACCUUGGGCAUGGUUGACUAAUGUUGUUUAUCACAAUUCUAUCUAAUCCAAGCCCUAAAUCUAAACCAUUUAGUCUUCCUUAAAUAUUUUUCUGAGACGACCACUUUUCUCUACUUCUUAUAAAGGUAAACCGAUUAGCUGGGUGUCACUAUGAAGUAACUUCUCAUUUUCCUCUGUCCUGAGGGCUGAGCUCUGUGAGAUUUGUCUCCUUGAUAUACUUGGUGGCAGCUAUAGACAGUGCUUUGUGCUAGAAAGAAAAGAACUCGAUGUUGGUCUAACCAGUUCAAGCUCUGUCCAAGCACAGCAGUUAGCAAAGCUGGGGGAUUCUUCAUGUGCUGAAUCCCCCUCUGCAAGGAAAGCAUCUACUCUUUGACUGAAAAAGCACUAAGGUUUUUUCCACAAACAUUUCUCCACUCAUUUAACAUAAGAAAAAUAUUUGGUUAACAUAUUUAAGUGCCUGCUGUGUAAAAACAGAUCUGUUAUUUUUUUUCUUAAACCCUGGUGAAGUGUUAAUUUAACCAAUCAAGUUAUAUUUCAGACUUAAAUGUAAGAAAAUCAGAAGAAACGCACAUGAAGCAAAGGCAUUGUAUGAACAGAUACACACACAACUACAAUUUUUCAGUCUUUGAUUUUCUAUUUAUUUACAUCUCUGAUUCUAUAUGGGUCUUCUAUAACUGGCCAGUUGUUUAUUACUUAAACAUUUUAGCUGUUGGCAAGAUUAAGUUGUGAGCAAUCCAAGAGUGCUUUUCUGAUUAUUCAGUCACCAUAUUAGUUAUUUUCAUCCUUGCUGUGAUUAAAUUCCAGACAAGGGCCAAAUGAAGGCCUAAGUUUGGGUCAGAGUUUGAGUACGUGGUCCAUCAUUAUGGUGGCAGUAGCAUGAGGCACUUGGUCACAUUAUGCCUGCAGUGAGAAAGGGGAGAAAGGGGAGAGAGACAUGAAUCCUAGACCUUCACUUAGCUCACUUCUUUCCUUUUGCUCAGUUCACUACUCCAGCCCAUGGUACACUGCCACAUACAUUCAGAAUGAGGUCUUCCAUCUUACUUCUACAGAAUUAGGUGCAGAAUUAGGUAAAGAAUUAGCU
rnacentral:lncRNA from 1 species